GAUGAAGAACGCAUCGAAAUGCGAUAAGUAAUGUGAAUUGCAGAAUUCAGUGAAUCAUCGAAUCUUUGAACGCACAUUGCGCCCGCCAGUAUUCUGGCGGGCAUGCCUGUUCGAGCGUCAUUUCAACCAUCAAGCCCUGCUUGCGUUGGGGUCCUGCGGCUGCCCGCAGGCCCUGAAAACCAGUGGCGGGCUCGCUAGUCACACCGAGCGCAGUAAUACAUCUCGCUUUGGGCGUGCGGCGGGUUCUUGCCGUUAAACACCCCCUUUUUACCAAGGUUGACCUCGGAUCAGGUAGGAAUACCCGCUGAACUUAAGCAUAUCAAUAAGCGGAGGA
rnacentral:misc_RNA from 1 species